rnacentral:rRNA from 1 species
AUUGAACGCUGGCGGAAUGCUUUACACAUGCAAGUCGAACGGCAGCACGGGGGCAGCCCUGGUGGCGAGUGGCGAACGGGUGAGUAAUACAUCGGAACGUGCCCGGUCGUGGGGGAUAACGUAGCGAAAGUUACGCUAAUACCGCAUACGAUCUGAGGAUGAAAGCGGGGGACCUUCGGGCCUCGCGCGAUCGGAGCGGCCGAUGUCAGAUUAGGUAGUUGGUGGGGUAAAGGCCUACCAAGCCGACGAUCUGUAGCUGGUCUGAGAGGACGACCAGCCACACUGGAACUGAGACACGGCCCAGACUCCUACGGGAGGCAGCAGUGGGGAAUUUUUGCCAAUGGGCGCAAGCCUGAUCCAGCCAUUCCGCGUGCAGGACGAAGGCCUUCGGAUUGUAAACUGCUUUUGUACGGAACGAAAAGGCUCUGGCUAAUACCUGCGGCUCAUGACGGUACCGUAAGAAUAGGCAACGGCUAACUACGUG